AUGGACAUCAGGCUCCUCUGCUGUGUGGCCGUCAGUCUGCUGGCGGGGAGGGCAGAUCACACAGGUGCUGGAGUCCUCCAGUCCCCCAGGCACAGGGUCACAGAGAGGGGACAGAAUGUAGCUCUCAGGUGUGAUCCAAUUUCUGGUCACACUGCCCUUUAUUGGUACCGACAGACCCCAGGGCAUGGCCCAGAGUUUUUGAUUUACUUCCAAGGCAAGGACACAGCAGACAAAUCGGGAAUGCCUGGUGACCGGUUCUCUGCUGAGAGGUCUGAAGGCUCGUUCUCCACUCUGAAGAUCCAGCCCGCAGAGCAGGGGGACUCGGCUGUGUAUCUCUGUGCCAGCAGCUCAGCCACAGUGUGGCACAAUCCCCUCCUCCCUGCCCACAAACCCUCAUGUGCUCAGCUGUCCUCCCAGUGCUCAGAAGCCCUGCUCUUCCCUCAUCAAGGGGGACAAAUGUACUUGAGACAUCAGGUGUUCUUCUGCUAG